rnacentral:rRNA from 1 species
UACGGCGGGGGCUAGCGUUGUUCGGAAUUACUGGGCGUAAAGCGCACGUAGGCGGCUUUGUAAGUUAGAGGUGAAAGCCCGGGGCUCAACUCCGGAAUUGCCUUUAAGACUGCAUCGCUUGAAUCCAGGAGAGGUGAGUGGAAUUCCGAGUGUAGAGGUGAAAUUCGUAGAUAUCCGGAGGAACACCAGUGGCGAAGGCGGCUCUCUGGGCAGAUACUGACGCUGAGACGCGAAAGCAUGGGGAGCAAACAGG